GAGCUUCGGCAGCACAUAUACUAAAAUUGGAUCGAUACAGAGAAGAUUAGCAAGGCCCCUGUGAAAGGAUGACGCGCAAAUCCAAGAGGCCAGACCUCACUUU